AUGGCUUCUCCCUUGUUCUUGUGUAUCCUCCUGGUCGUAUUUGGCAGCUACCUUUCCACCAUUUCUGCUGCAGGCGACGGUAAGCAAAGCUUCAUUGUGGUGUCAACCAGGUCAUUUCAGACACAAGAUGUCUGCUCCACCUCCACAGUGACGCCGCGGCCAGACCGCGCCGGCGCCGCUGCGCCGCUGGUGCACAGGCACGGACCCUGCGCCAAGUCGCCGUCCACCGACAAGCCAUCAUCUUUCGCCGAGGCGCUUCACAGAAGCCGCGUCCGUGCAGACUACAUCAUGAGCCGAGCGCUGAGGGGGAGGGACACCACCACCACCAUAGAGAUGCAGGAGCAGGAGGGCAAGGUGAGCAUCCCGGCGCACCUGGACACCUCCGUGGACUCGCAAGAGUACGUGGUGACGUUGGGCCUGGGCACGCCGGCCGUGGAGCAGGUCCUCCUCAUGGACACCGGCAGCGACCUGUCAUGGGUGCAGUGCGCACCAUGCAACUCCACCGACUGCUACCCUCAGAAGGAUCCCUUGUUCGACCCGCGCAAGUCGUCCACGUACGCUCCCAUCCCCUGCGGCUCCGACCUGUGCAAGAGCCUCCAAUCCGACCACUUCGACAAUGGCUGCAGCAUGAAUGGCAAUGGCACCCAGUCCCAGUGCGGGUAUCGAGUCGAGUACGGAGGAGGAUUAAAGACCAGGGGCGUGUACAGCAACGAGGCGCUCACGAUGGCGCCCGGCGUCGUCAUCAAGGACUUCCAUUUCGGCUGUGCAUACAAGCAGAUUGGCUCCGACGACAAGUCCGACGGCCUGCUCGGGCUCGGUGGCGCGCCCGAGUCGCUCCCGGUUCAGACCUCGGCGGUCUACGGCGGCUCUUUCUCCUACUGCCUCCCGCCGGUGAGCAGCGGCACCGGGUUCCUCGCCCUCGGCGCGCCCAGCAACACCUCGGGCUUCUCCUUCACGCCCAUGACCCCCUUCAUGGAUUACGCUACCUUCUACCUGGUGAAGCUCACCGGCAUCAGCGUCGGCGGGAAGCAGCUCCGUAUACCGCCAAAGGUGUUCGAGGGGGGCCUGAUCGUGGACUGCGGCAAUAUCAUCUCACAUCUGCCAUCGACGCCCUAUGCGGAACUGCAGUCCGCGUUCCGGGCGGCCAUGGCGGCUUACCCGCUCAUCCCGAGCGACGAGUACGACACAUGCUACAACUUCACCGGAUACAGCAACAUCACCGUGCCCAAGGUCGCUCUCACGUUCACCGGCGGCGUCACGGUCGACCUCGAUGUCCCUAACGGGGUUCUGUUGGAUGGUUGUCUGGCCUUCACCGAGUCCGGGCUAGAUGAUUACGUCGGGUUCCUCGGUAAUGUCCAGAUGAGAACGUUGGAGAUGUUGUACGAUGUCAGGGGUGGUAGACUCGGAUUCCGGGCAGGUGCCUGCUGA
rnacentral:rRNA from 1 species